rnacentral:rRNA from 1 species
CGGUUUUAGUGGCGGACGGGUGAGUAACGCGUGGGUAACCUGCCUCACACUGGGGGAUAACACUUAGAAACAGGUGCUAAUACCGCAUAAGCGCACGGGACUGCAUGGUCUUGUGUGAAAAACUCCGGUGGUGUGAGAUGGACCCGCGUCUGAUUAGCUGGUUGGCGGGGUAACGGCCCACCAAGGCGACGAUCAGUAGCCGGCCUGAGAGGGUGGACGGCCACAUUGGGACUGAGACACGGCCCAAACUCCUACGGGAGGCAGCAG